CUCAGGCUGGCCUUUCCCAACUCCUGUUGCUCAUACGCGGGCUCCCCUGGAAAGCAAGGAGAAUAGUAAGCUAGGAAAUGGAAUAACGUCAGCCAUUCGUGCAAUUGCAGGGCAAGCUCAAGAUAGGUGUUCAGCAUGUCAUGCACCAGAACCGAGGAUAACUGCAUGAAGAAACUAUUGUUUUUACCAGUGUUCUGAAGAAUCAGAUCACUUCAGUAUGUUUGGUAAGAAACAGAUUCAUAUCUCUGUAUUAAAGCUUAUUUAUUUAAUUUAUUUGGUACCAGAAAUUGAACUCAGG
rnacentral:lncRNA from 1 species